UGAGGAAUAUUGGUCAAUGGGCGAGAGCCUGAACCAGCCAAGUAGCGUGCAGGAUGACGGCCCUAUGGGUUGUAGACUGCUUUUAUAUGGGAAUAAAGUGAGGGACGUGACCCUUAUUGCAUGUACCAUACGAAUAAGGACCGGCUAAUUCCGUGCCAGCAGCCGCGGUAAUACGGAAGGUCCAGGCGUUAUCCGGAUUUAUUGGGUUUAAAGGGAGCGUAGGCCGUUUGGUAAGCGUGUUGUGAAAUGUAGGAGCUCAACUUCUAGAUUGCAGCGCGAACUGUCAGACUUGAGUGCGCACAACGUAGGCGGAAUUCAUGGUGUAGCGGUGAAAUGCUUAGAUAUCAUGAAGAACUCCGAUUGCGAAGGCAGCUUACGGGAGCGCAACUGACGCUGAAGCUCGAAGGUGCGGGUAUCGAACAGG
rnacentral:rRNA from 1 species